AUGCCCACAGCACCGUGCCUGUGUUGGCCAUGGCACGGGCGGCCCCCUGGCGUGGCAGUGGGGCCGGGCAGUGGGACCCCACUGCGGUGCCUGGCAAAGGGACAGGCCCCCGGUGGGGUGUGCUGGGGGGGGCACCCCCCAUACCCACACCUCUCUGGCUCCCACACACUCACUCCAGAGCCGCGUUGCUCCCUGUGCAUGGGGCAGCACCGGUGCCUUGGUGUCACGCAGGAGGACUUGGCAUCAGCCAGGCGGGGAGCAGGGGCUGCCCGGUCCCACUGCUCCCCGCCGGAGCUGCUGCAGGUUUGCCCGGUGCCUGCAGCCCCGGUGGCCCCGGCGCAGCCAAGCGAGCACAAGCACCGCGCGAGGGAGCGCCAGGGCUGCAGCCGUGCCGGGGGAGCAGCGUCAGCAGCCACGGCACGGCACCGCGCGCUGGGAGCGGCCGAGCAAGCGUGUAAUUGGGCCAGGCUAAUUAUGAUGGAUAACUCUAUUAUAUUCCCGUUUUUAAUGCGCCGCAGCUUAGCCUGCCCCGCUGACGCACAGGGCAGAGUUCACCCCUUUCAGCCCCCGCGAGCUCAGCGGCCGCGCAGCGUUAAAGCCUGGGUGUGCGGGGCGCUGAAUGCGGCGCCCAUAAUGGCUGUCACUCAGCCCUGCGCGCACAAACGUUUGCAAACAGCCGGUGACCAGCUCACACAAAGCACUCGCGGGGACCCCGCCGACGCUCGCCAGGGGGGCUCGGUGCUCCCAGGUGCGUGGCAGCCGAGCCGGGCACCAGCCCUGCCGCCGGCACGGAUUGCCUUUGGCUCUGGGGUGCGCGUUCCCUUGGCUGCGGGGCCCUGUCUGGCCGCGGGGGACCUGUGGCUGCCGUCCCAAGCGGGGCCACGGCCACCAGCUUGUCCCCGCUGGCACGCAGCGCCUGCCAGCUCCCUGCGCCCGCCGCCCCGGGCACUGCUGGCGCCGCGCUGCAGCCCGUGGCUCGCUGCGCUGGGAACGCUGUGUACAGCUUAG
rnacentral:lncRNA from 1 species